rnacentral:pre_miRNA from 1 species
AGGGAGAGUGCCGGAUCCUGGGCUAUGUCCCCCAGCGCCCUAGGCUCCAGGGGCUGCACCGCUGGAAUUGUGCUCCCAGGGCCGCACAGCCCCCU